CACGAGUUUGAUCCUGGCUCAGAUUGAACGCUGGCGGAAUGCUUUACACAUAGCAAGUCGAACGGUAGAGGGGGCAACCCCGUUGAGGAGUGGCGAACGGGUGAGUAAUAUAUCGGAACGUGCCAGUCGUGGGGGAUAACGUAGCGAAAGUUACGCUAAUACCGCAUACGAUCUAAGGAUGAAAGCGGGGGAUCGCAAGACCUCGCGCGAUUGGAGCGGCCGAUAUCAGAUUAGGUAGUUGGUGGGGUAAAGGCUCACCAAGCCAACGAUCUGUAGCUGGUCUGAGAGGACGACCAGCCACACUGGAACUGAGACACGGUCCAGACUCCUACGGGAGGCAGCAGUGGGGAAUUUUGGACAAUGGACGCAAGUCUGAUCCAGCCAUUCCGCGUGCAGGAUGGUGGCCCUCGGGUUGUAAACUGCUUUUGUACGGAACGAAAAGGUUUCUCUUAAUACGAGGAGCUCAUGACGGUACCGUAAGAAUAAGCACCGGCUAACUACGUG
rnacentral:rRNA from 1 species